UAGGGAAUCUUCCACAAUGGGCGCAAGCCUGAUGGGGCAACGCCGCGUGAGUGAAGAAGGUCUUCGGAUCGUAAAACUCUGUUGUUAAAGAAGAACACGUAUGAGAGUAACUGUUCAUACGUUGACGGUAUUUAACCAGAAAGUCACGGCUAACUACGUGCCAG
rnacentral:rRNA from 1 species